GGGGGGCCCAUCCUCCAAGGCUAAAUACUCCUGACUGACCGAUAGUGAACCAGUACCGUGAGGGAAAGGCGAAAAGAACCCCGGCGAGGGGAGUGAAAAAGAACCUGAAACCGUGUACGUACAAGCAGUGGGAGCACGCUUAGGCGUGUGACUGCGUACCUUUUGUAUAAUGGGUCAGCGACUUAUAUUCUGUAGCAAGGUUAACCGAAUAGGGGAGCCGAAGGGAAACCGAGUCUUAACUGGGCGUUAAGUUGCAGGGUAUAGACCCGAAACCCGGUGAUCUAGCCAUGGGCAGGUUGAAGGUUGGGUAACACUAACUGGAGGACCGAACCGACUAAUGUUGAAAAAUUAGCGGAUGACUUGUGGCUGGGGGUGAAAGGCCAAUCAAACCGGGAGAUAGCUGGUUCUCCCCGAAAGCUAUUUAGGUAGCGCCUCGUGAAUUCAUCUCCGGGGGUAGAGCACUGUUUCGGCAAGGGGGUCAUCCCGACUUACCAACCCGAUGCAAACUGCGAAUACCGGAGAAUGUUAUCACGGGAGACACACGGCGGGUGCUAACGUCCGUCGUGAAGAGGGAAACAACCCAGACCGCCAGCUAAGGUCCCAAAGUCAUGGUUAAGUGGGAAACGAUGUGGGAAGGCCCAGACAGCCAGGAUGUUGGCUUAGAAGCAGCCAUCAUUUAAAGAAAGCGUAAUAGCUCACUGGUCGAGUCGGCCUGCGCGGAAGAUGUAACGGGGCUAAACCAUGCACCGAAGCUGCGGCAGCGACGCUUAUGCGUUGUUGGGUAGGGGAGCGUUCUGUAAGCCUGCGAAGGUGUGCUGUGAGGCAUGCUGGAGGUAUCAGAAGUGCGAAUGCUGACAUAAGUAACGAUAAAGCGGGUGAAAAGCCCGCUCGCCGGAAGACCAAGGGUUCCUGUCCAACGUUAAUCGGGGCAGGGUGAGUCGACCCCUAAGGCGAGGCCGAAAGGCGUAGUCGAUGGGAAACAGGUUAAUAUUCCUGUACUUGGUGUUACUGCGAAGGGGGGACGGAGAAGGCUAUGUUGGCCGGGCGACGGUUGUCCCGGUUUAAGCGUGUAGGCUGGUUUUCCAGGCAAAUCCGGAAAAUCAAGGCUGAGGCGUGAUGACGAGGCACUACGGUGCUGAAGCAACAAAUGCCCUGCUUCCAGGAAAAGCCUCUAAGCAUCAGGUAACAUCAAAUCGUACCCCAAACCGACACAGGUGGUCAGGUAGAGAAUACCAAGGCGCUUGAGAGAACUCGGGUGAAGGAACUAGGCAAAAUGGUGCCGUAACUUCGGGAGAAGGCACGCUGAUAUGUAGGUGAAGUCCCUUGCGGAUGGAGCUGAAAUCAGUCGAAGAUACCAGCUGGCUGCAACUGUUUAUUAAAAACACAGCACUGUGCAAACACGAAAGUGGACGUAUACGGUGUGACGCCUGCCCGGUGCCGGAAGGUUAAUUGAUGGGGUCAGCGCAAGCGAAGCUCUUGAUCGAAGCCCCGGUAAACGGCGGCCGUAACUAUAACGGUCCUAAGGUAGCGAAAUUCCUUGUCGGGUAAGUUCCGACCUGCACGAAUGGCGUAAUGAUGGCCAGGCUGUCUCCACCCGAGACUCAGUGAAAUUGAACUCGCUGUGAAGAUGCAGUGUACCCGCGGCAAGACGGAAAGACCCCGUGAACCUUUACUAUAGCUUGACACUGAACAUUGAGCCUUGAUGUGUAGGAUAGGUGGGAGGCUUUGAAGUGUGGACGCCAGUCUGCAUGGAGCCGGCCUUGAAAUACCACCCUUUAAUGUUUGAUGUUCUAACGUGGACCCGUGAUCCGGGUUGCGGACAGUGUCUGGUGGGUAGUUUGACUGGGGCGGUCUCCUCCUAAAGAGUAACGGAGGAGCACGAAGGUUGGCUAAUCCUGGUCGGACAUCAGGAGGUUAGUGCAAUGGCAUAAGCCAGCUUGACUGCGAGCGUGACGGCGCGAGCAGGUGCGAAAGCAGGUCAUAGUGAUCCGGUGGUUCUGAAUGGAAGGGCCAUCGCUCAACGGAUAAAAGGUACUCCGGGGAUAACAGGCUGAUACCGCCCAAGAGUUCAUAUCGACGGCGGUGUUUGGCACCUCGAUGUCGGCUCAUCACAUCCUGGGGCUGAAGUAGGUCCCAAGGGUAUGGCUGUUCGCCAUUUAAAGUGGUACGCGAGCUGGGUUUAGAACGUCGUGAGACAGUUCGGUCCCUAUCUGCCGUGGGCGCUGGAGAACUGAGGGGGGCUGCUCCUAGUACGAGAGGACCGGAGUGGACGCAUCACUGGUGUUCGGGUUGUCAUGCCAAUGGCACUGCCCGGUAGCUAAAUGCGGAAGAGAUAAGUGCUGAAAGCAUCUAAGCACGAAACUUGCCCCGAGAUGAGUUCUCCCUGACCCUUUAAGGGUCCUGAAGGAACGUUGAAGACGACGACGUUGAUAGGCCGGGUGUGUAAGCGCAGCGAUGCGUUGAGCUAACCGGUACUAAUGAACCGUGAGGCUUAACCUUACAACGCCGAAG
rnacentral:rRNA from 1 species